rnacentral:snoRNA from 1 species
CACAUGCUCCUAAGAUCACCUUUGUGGAUGCCCGUCUUGAGCUGAGUCUACUUGUAAACUCUGGUUUCUUGUAGUCAGUCAAAGAAACAUCCAGCAACUUUUUGGUUGAUAGUCAAAGGUGCUUGAGUCAUUGGCAUGUAAGAUAAAUAUACCUGCAUGUUAGUCUUAGGUUCUGAUAGAAAUGACAUGCAAUUAUGCUGCCAUUUUUUACUAUCAGGACUCGACUGGUGUGCGGACACU